CCAGGGUUCUGAAUUAAACUAUUCUUUGU
rnacentral:tRNA from 1 species